AUUUUUGUUUUAGUUUCUCUUUCCUCUGGAGACAUGUCAAGUAAGAACUUGCUAUGGCUGAGAUCAGAGAAUUGCUGCCUGUUUUCUCCUCUAGGGUUUUGAUGGUUUUCUGUCUCACAUUUAGGUCUUUCAUCCAU